rnacentral:tRNA from 1 species
CCUUCGAUAGCUCAGUUGGUAGAGCGGAGGACUGUAGAAAGAUCUCAUUGGACAUCCUUAGGUCGCUGGUUCGAAUCCGGCUCGAAGGA